AACGCACAUUGCGCCCCUCGGUAGUCCGUUGGGCAUGCCUGUUCGAGCGUCAUUUAAACCUUCAAGCUCAGCUUGGUGUUGGGUGCUUGUCCUCCCCAGCGGUGGACUCACCUCAAAUGCAUUGGCGGCCGGUAUGUUGGCUUCGAGCGCAGUAGAACGCGCCUGGCGUCUUGACGUACUGGUCCUCCACGAGACUCUUCUCAUCUUGACCUCGGAUCAGGUAGGGAUACCCGCUGAACUUAA
rnacentral:misc_RNA from 1 species